rnacentral:lncRNA from 1 species
AAAAGUUUUUCUUCAAAAAUGGAUGGGAUGUCUUCAGAGGCUAAUGACGAGAAUGGCAAUGUGGAGAAACCUGUUGGAAGACGACAUUCUUCAAUUUUGAAACCCCCAAGGAGUCCUCUUCAGGACCUCAGAGGUGGAAAUGGGAAUGAAACUACUCAGGAAUCCAAUGCUUUGAGAAAUAAGAAAAACUCUCGUCGAGUCAGCUUUGCAGAUACUAUAAAAGUAUUCCAGACAGAGUCUCAUAUGAAAAUAGUGAAAAAGUCAGAAAUUUCAGAAACAGAAGCAAGAGAAAAUGUCCUAUUUAUACAGAAUAAGAAUCCAGAAGAUAACUGCUGUGAGAUAACUGGAAUGAACACAUUGCUUUGCGCUCCCAUUCAGACCCAGAUGCCCCAGAAAGAGAUUUCAGUUACAGAAUACAGCCAUGAAAGGAAACAUGCAAAUGACCAAACAGUCAUCUUUUCAGAUGAAAACCAGAUGGACCUGACAGCAAGUCACACUGUGAUGAUUACCAAAGGCCUUUUAGAUUGUACCAAAAGUGAAAAGUCCACCAAGAUAGAUACUACAUCGUUUCUGGCUAACUUAAAACUCCACACUGAAGAUUCAGGAAUGAAGAAAGAAUUACAUUUUUCUGUAGAUCAAAACACGUCUUCAGAAAAGAAGAUAAAUUUCAAUGACUUCAUAAAAAGAUUGAAAAUAGGAAAAUCAAAUGCUUUUCCUUUUACAGGACCUGAUAAAGAAAAUUCUGAGAUGCCUGUUCAUUCCAAAGAAUUAAAUAAGACCACUUCUGUACAUCAAAUGCAUGUAUCUCUUGGUGUAGGUGAAAAUACCAGUAAUAUGACUAGACUCUUUAGAGAACAAGAUGAUGGAAUGAAUUUUACCCAGUGUCAUACAACCAAUAUUCAGGCUUUUGUUCCCACAUCCAAUGAGGCCAGCUUAAAGGAAUUUAAAGGUGAUGAUAUAACAGUUUAUGGCAAUGAUUUCAUGGACUUGACAAUUAGCCACACUGUACAGAAGUUACCUUCAGCAGAUAAUCUAUCUGAAAUAGAAAAUCAAACUCAGGAUGUCAUGAUGGAUGUUUCAACAUGUUAUGAAACUAAAGCACUAGAACAGAAGACAGUCUUUAAGGAUAAACCAAAUGAUGCUUUCCAAGACCUUUCCUUAAACCCUGAAGGUAACAUACAUAUGAUCAGAAGUCAUAUUACAGGGACAGAAAUUCAAACAGUCACACAGGCUACCAACCAGAAUAUCAGACCAUUGGCCAUGAUCCCAGAAUCUAAAUAUUCUGGUCCAGCUAUUCAAGAUGAUAAGACAUUCUUCUAUUCUAGUUGUAACGAUGCCAUGGAACUGACCAAGUGUCACUCAAGUAUGAGAGAGGAGAAAAAUUUGGUAAAGCAUGACAAUAAUUAUUCUAAAAUGUAUCCCAAUCCAGAUGGCAACUCUCUUAGAGAAAAAACUGUUUAUUCAGGAGAAGAUAGCAUGGACAUUACCAGGAGUCACACAGUUAAAAUAGAUAAUCAAAUUUUUAAACAAGUUCAGACAAAUGUACAGAAAGCAACUGCACCAGUAUCUGAAAAAGAAAUGAUGAUCCAAAAUCACAUAAUUGUGUCAGAGAAUUGGGACAUAAAUGUAAAUUGUCACUCUGUUCCUCUUGUAUCUCAGGAAAGAUUACAGCAGAGCCCAGAAAAUCCUUUAUUUAUUUCAUUGACUGACAAAAGGACUGAAAUCUUCACGGAUGAAGAUAUGGAUUUGACUAAAAGUCACACAGUUAAUUUAGGAAGUCAGUUUCCUCUUGCAUCUUACAGUCUGACAUCUGAGAAUACCAGUAAAUCUCACUCUCACAGCAAAGGCCUUUCAGAUGAAUGGGAAAAAAUGACCAAAGAUCAUAUUGACCUAUCCCAACAACAAAACAUAAUAUCUAAGAACAUCCCAGCUAAUACAUGGGACAAAGAAAAAAGUCAAGUUCUGAAGAUUUCACCCUUUCUUGAUAAAGAUUCUCCUCAGUCACCUGAUGUUAACCAGGACGUAGCAACAAAACAUAAUAUAGUAUACUCUCGUGAAGAUCUUGACAAACAGGUACCACUGGGAAAUAACAGAAAUACAAUUUCAUGUGAGAAAGCUUUGUUGCCUACUACAAAGCCACUAUUUUCAUCAAGAGGAUGGCCUGCCGUGAGAAAUCAUAGUGUUGUUAACAGUCAAACAGUAAAAUCUGUACUAGGCCAGAAUUCUAAACUGCCUGAGCCACUAAGGAAAAGUUUAGGUAAUCCCAUUCCUGACUGUUCUGACAAGACAGUUAUUUGUUCAGAGAAGGAAGAAAAUAUGGAUCUAACCAAGAGUCACACUGUCAUUACUGGAUUUGGUCCUUCUGAAGUACUAGAACUAAGUAAGACUAAUUUUGAAAACACUAAUAGCCAGUUAUCAACAGUAAAUAGACAGAAAGCUAUAAAAGUUGAAAAAUGUAAUGAAAGUCCUGUAGAAAAAAUGGGAGUGUUUAUUUCUAAUGGUAUCAUGGAUGUGUUGGAGGACAAAAAAGUACAGAAAUCCGGAAUUCUGAAUGAAAAACAAGACGUCAAAAUUUGUGGAAGAAAAAGUCUUGGCAGACUAAAAGUUGAUAAGACUGUUGUAUUUUCAGAGGGAAAUGAGAAUGAUAUGGAUAUCACCAAGAGUUGUACAGUGGAAAUAAAUCAUAGACCUUUAAUAGAUGAACAUGAUUCCCAUUUGGUGCCUUUGGCAGGACAUUCUAACACUGUUUUGUAUGCAUGUGGGCAAGAUGACAUGGAGGUCACCAGAAGUCACACAACUGCUAUAGAAUGUAAAACUGUCUCACCAGAUAAAACAACUACUAGGCCUGUGGACAAAACUGUAAUGUUUGUAGAUAAUCAUGAUGAACUAGAAAUGACAAAGUCCCAUACUGUUUUCAUUGACUGCCAAACAAAGGACAGAACUGUGCUUCCAGACAGACCUAACUUUGAACUAUCCAAAAGAAAAAGCCUAGAAAAAUUAAAAGUGACCCCUACUUCUACUGAGGAGAGUGUUUUUUUCCCACAAAAUGUCAAAAGGGAUCAUUCAGUCGCAAAAGUCAGCCAGCUAACACUACCAGGGAAAUGGUCUAAUCAUGGUCCUUUAGAGAAAGCUGAAGCAUUUAUAGCUGAUGAUAACAUGGAAAUGUCUAAAUCAACCAUUUGGAAAAAUGAUAGAAAUGUACAAAAGCCUAUAUUUCUGAAAGAACCUCUAUCAGGCAAAAAUCAGAGAAGGAAAAGCCUUAGACUCAAAAAUGACACGACCAAUGCAUUUUCAAAGAAUGAUAAAAAUGAUAUGCAUGUCAUCCAGUGUUGUGCAGUGGAAAUAAAUAACAAAAGUGUCCUGGAAGAUAGAGAGGACUCCCGUUUGGUGCCUUUGGAAGGAACUUCUAAUACUGUUGUGUAUACGUGUGGACAGGAUGACAUGGAGAUCACCAGAAGUCACACAACCGCCUUAGAGUAUAAACCUGUCUCAUCAGAUAAAAUAACCACUAGGACUACAGACAAAACUGUUAUGUUUGUAGAUAAUCACAAUGAUCUGGAAGUUACUAAGUCCCACACUGUUCUCAUUGAUUGUCAAGCCACGGAGAAAAUACUUCAAGAGUGCCCUGCAUUUGGAAUAGCAAAAGGAAAAACCUUGGGUGUUUCUUUUCCACAGGAUGGUAAUUCUAUUCAAGAAGUCACUGAAAAACAAGCACUGGCUGUAGAAAACAAAAUCGUUCUUCACAGUGAGCAAAAGCAUAAUGUGAUACCCUUUGUUCCUACUAAUACAUUGUCUGGGGGUCAAGGUGAGACAGAUGUCAAAUUCCAUAGCACUUCUGUGGAUGAAGAAGUUAUGAAAGUUGUAGGCCAGGCCUGUACAUUGGAAAAACCCAAAAUUGAAAGCUGUCAGUUAAAUAGUACAGAUAGAAGAAAUGUGGAUUUUACAGGCAGUCUUGCAACUGCUCUUUGUGGAUCUGGUGAUAAUUAUUCCUGUUUACCUAAUGUUACUUCCUUUUUUGGUAAUUUGGAGAAGAAUGUCGUGUCCUUAUGUGAUAAAGAUGAAGAUUUAAAAGCCAGUCAUUGCCCAGUGCAAAAUGAUCUUCCUUGUGCAAACAAUUCAGCCAGUGAUGAUUAUUUGAAAUCUGAGGGACUGCCUCUUUCUGCUCCUUGCUUGUUAAAGAAGGAGAAAGUUGUUCAAACCAAUACCCAAGGACAGUUACAUUGUGCCCCCAAAGUGCUAAAAGAUCAAGAUCUGAUUAAGGAGCCCCCAAAUCUAAUAUCAAAUGAAACUUUAGUAUAUGGUGAAGAUUCGGGGGAGAUGACUAAACUUAGCUCAAAGCCAGUGUGUUUUAAGCUUCCGAGGGAUCAAAUGGAGCCCUCUGUUGAUAAGGCAGAACACAGUUUAAAGAAGACCUUUGUUGAUGAUGUUUGUGUUGCUUCUCAGCACCAUCUAUUAACCCAACUACCUCCAUUACCUCAACAAGGACAGAAUAGUGUCAAUAAAGAUGAAGGAAUAUUGUCUAAAGCUGGAAAUAAUUUAAAUAUUGUUGGAGGAAAUUCCUCUGAACCCACAUGUGAAAACGAUUCCACAAUGCUUUAUAAUGGGAAACAGUUUACUGCAGCCUAUAAAAACGAACCAAAGAAAAAUAUUCAAACAGCUAAAUGUAAUACAGCUAUAGAUUUCCACAGUAACUCAUCCUUGACUAAGCAAGUUAUCCACACUCUUAUCCGUCCUCGAGAAGCAUCAGAUCCUGUAAUUGCAUCCAGUGUUGCAACUUGUAGUGUCAAGCCAAAUCUGCAUAACUUAAAUGGAAAAACUGAAGAAAUUUUAGAUUUCCAACCAGUUCAUUUACCACCUUCUCCAGAACAGUUACUUGAAUUAGUAAAUAAGGUACGCUGUGAUAUGAGUAUCGUGCAAGCUACAGAAGCAUGUAAUGUUAACAUAGUGACUAGCAAUGUUAAAGAUGAUAGCGAUGAAGAAAAUAACAUUCCACAUAAGGGAGCUGAAACCACCUCUGUCCCAUUAAUGACAACUGUAAAAGAUAAAAUGAGGAGAUGUUCUUUGGGAAUAUUUUUGCCCAGGUUGCCAAACAAAAGAAAUUGUAGUGUCACAGGUAUUGAUGCUCUGAAGCAGGUUCCACCAGACACAACUGAUUUAAAUCACUUAGAAACUCAGCCGGUUUCCAAUAAGGAUUCAGGCAUUGGAAUUGUUACAGCUAAACUGAACUUAAGUCCAUCUCAAUAUAUAAAUGAGGAAAAUCUCCCGAUAUAUCCUGGUGAGAUUAAUUCCUCAGACUCUAUCAGCUUAGAUACUGAGGAAAAGGCUUUGACUGAGACAUACCCAAAAGAGACUUCACCCUCUGAAAAUAAAAUGGAAGAAACCUGCAAUAGCCAAAAAAGAACCUGGAUACAAGAAGAUGAUGAUGAUAUUCAGAAUGAGAAAAAAAUCAGAAAAAAUGAAAUUGGGUUUAGUGAUACUGGAAAAGAUCAGGAGAUUGCUAAUCUCCAUGCUGAAGGAGAUAUGGAUAAAAAUGCUAACAGUGUAUUGAUAAAAAGCCUGAGCAGAACUCCUUCUAGUUGUAGCAGUUCUCUGGAUUCAAUCAAGGCUGAUGGGACCUCUCUGGACUUAAGCACACACCUUGGUAGUCAAAUAGAAUCACAGUUUCUCAGAGAUACCGUUUGUGAAGAGAGCUUGAAGGAGAAACUCAGAGAUGGAAGAAUAACAAUAAAGGAGUUCUUUAUACUUCUUCAGGUUCACAUUCUGAUACAGAAACCCAGACAGAGCAAUCUUCCAGCCAAAUUUACUGUAAACACAUCACCUAUUCUGGAAGACCUGAUGUUAAGUCAAUAUGUUUACCGACCCAAGAUACAGAUUUAUAAAGAAGAUUGUGAAGCUCUUUGCCAGAAGAUUGAAGAAUUAAAGCUUUCUGCACUGAACCAAGAUAAACUGUUAACUGAUAUAAAUAGGAACCUGUGGGAAAAAAUGAAACACUGCUCUGAUGAGGAGCUGAAGGCCUUUGGAAUUUACUUGAACAAAAUAAAAUCACGUUUUACCAAGAUGACUAAAGUGUUUACUCACCAAGGAAAAGUGGCUCUAUACAGCAAGCUGGUGCAGUCAGCUCAGAGUGAGAGAGAGAAACUUCAUAAAAGGAUAAAUGAGAUGGACAAUAUACUUAAGAAGAUUGAUAACUGUCUCACCGAGGUGGAAAUAGAAACUAAGAAUUUGGAGGAUGAACAGAAAGACAGUCCUGUUGAAGAACUGAAUUCUGAAGUGAGAGCUGCAGAAAAAGAACUGGAACAGCUGAAAACUGAGGAAGAAAAGCUUCAAAGAAAUUUCUUAGAGCUGGAAAUACAGAAAGAGCAGAUCCUUGCUCAAUUAGACUUUGUGCAAAAACAAACAAGGAGAACUGAAGAGUUGCUGGAUCAAUUGAGCUUGUCUGAAUGGGAUGUCAUUGAGUGGAGUGAUGAUCAAGCUGUAUUCACCUUUCUUUAUGACACAAUAGAACUCAUCAUUACCUUUGGAGAGCCAGUAGUUGGUCUCCCUUUCCUGGGCAAGGCUUCUAGGAAGAUUGUUGAUCUGAAUUUUCAAUCUCUGUUAGAUGAGGAUAAAGCUCCUCCUUCCUCCAUUUUAGUUCAUAGCCUUAUUUUCCAGUACAUUGAGCAACAGGAAUCCUGGAAGAAGACAUGCACAACACAGCAUCAGGUACCCAAGAUGCUUCAAGAAAUCUCACUGGUAGUGAGCCACUGCAAACUCCUUGGAGAGGAGAUUGAGUUUUUAAAGCGAUGGGGACCAAAUUAUAACCUAAUAAGCAUAGAUGUGAAUAAUACUGAAUUGAAGCUUUUAUUCUCCAGCUCAGCAGCAUUUGCAAAGUUUGAGAUAACUUUGUCUCUCUCAGCUCACUACCCAUCAGUCCCAUUACCUUUCUCUAUUCAAAAUCACCUUGGAAACAUUGGCCAAGAUGAAGUCACUGCCAUUCUAUCUAAAGUGCCACUGGAAGACAACUACCUAAAGAAUGUAGUCAAACAAAUUUACCGAGAUCUGCUUCAGGACUGA